ACAGUCUUUUGUACCAUUAUACGUGCUGCUAUUAGCUAUGCAUUGGGAGAACUUUUUCUAUUUCUUUUCUUGCCAAAAAGAAAGCGUUAGUGAUGUGAGUGAUAGAACCCGCUAAACUAGAUCCCGAAAAUGUAUUUAUUUUUAGAUCACUUGCUUUGUAGCGAAACCAAUCAACUUUGAAUAACAUCUCAAGAAAGGUCCCUUCGUUUGGCCUGCUGACCUCUUUUUAAUUUCUUAAAAAUUGCAGUUAAAAUCUGGGUCGCAACUCGCGAGUUCAUCACGGGACUGAGGGCUCCGGGGGAUGUUGACGAACUCUAGCCGCCCCGUGAGUAUAAUGACCCGAAACUCCUAUUUUGUUUUGUUCUUUUAUUUAUUUUUUUUUCACCAAAAAAAUUAUAUUGCGGUCCGUAUGAGAUGAGACGAUAAGAUAGCGUUUUUUUUUGUUUCCAAUUAUAAUAGCUUCAAGAUAUGAUUGGUUCAUAGUCUGGAACUAAAUUUUUCCUUACGGUCAAAUGACGUGCAUUUUCUUUGGCUAAAACAGUGUCGGAUUUUUGCCCAGUCAGGUGUUCGUUGUUUGGUGCUAAUCUGUUGAAUGAUAGAGCGAGAAUGCUAAGCCUGUUAUACAGCAGUCAAUCAUUCUCAUAGACAAGUACGUAAAUUCAUAGAGUAACUGCUAUUUUAUUAUUCAGUCCUUCGUUUUCCUUUCGUAUGGACUUUUUGGAAUGACUACAGUUUUCAUGUCUAUAUUUUCUCCUAGAAAAUGGGCAUCUAAUCUGAAACAACUCCCGAUAAAAAUAGCCGUACAGUCAGUUCAACGACUAAAGGCGUUACAAGAAAAUUGACUUAAAAAAUAAAACAAAAAAUCCUUUCUCUUUACAAUACCUUCCAAAGGCUAUAUAUACCGGGCUAGACAAUAAAUGCGGAAUGACUGGGGUGUGUUUUGACCUGGGGCGACUAGAGCGCUUAAAUCUUUGCGAUGGCUAAAAAAAAAAGGCCUUGUACACAUUCGCUGAUUGCGUAUACAGAUACUAAAUAAGUAUAUACUAUGCACGUACAGAAGCACGAUCGAAAGAAUGUGAAUUCCUUUUUUGGGUAGACACUUUACCGAUGAAAUUAACCUUAAUUUCGUUACAGCAGAGGCAUUUAGCUCCAAUAUGUUUUAUUUAAAGGUUCACUGUGCUAUGUGUGCGUGAACCAAACAACGUUCCGUUUUCCCGUGCCAGAGCUUUUGUGUUUGACAUACAAUGAGUCGCUGCUAAAAGUUCGUGGUGGUUUCCCUCUUUUUCUUUUUCGAAGAGAACAAAAAUAAAGAAAAAAAACAAAACAAAACUGCGACCACAUAAUGGAUUUUUCGGAACAUUCUCAAGUGACCAACUUCCUUUCAAAUGGAAACACCUUCUUUCCCCCCCACACAAAAUUUGAACGUUUCAUUUUGGAACAAAAUUUCGUAAAUCGUAUUUGUGAUGAUCUUAUUGAAACUUUACACUCCGGAUAAAUCCAGAAAGGAGGGAUCUAGAGCGCAUCCGCUGGAGGUGGAUGAACGAAGCAAUAGUGCCAUCUUUUUAUCUGAUAGAAAAUAAAAACGCAUCAAAUGAUCUGCGACGGGGUGUUGAAUUAGCCAUAACCGUUGGCGAUAACGUUCGAAAUUUCCAAAGUCUUAAAGACUUCGGUAAAGUCAAAUAAAUUUUGCUUUGUUAGUUGAUGGAAAUUGACGUGGAAGCAGAUGGCUUCUAAACAGACUUGUUUUAUCCGGUUAUGAACGGCAUACCGAUGGACUGGAGCGCAAAAAAAAAAAUUAGUUUCAUGAUAGAAAUUCCGUCCACAAUAUUUAUAUAACCAACACUGGUACCGCUUCUUCACGAUAUUUUUGUCAAUAGAUGGCGAGCGGAGCGCUCAUGGUGCAACCUGCAAUCUGGCAACCUGACACUAUUUCCCGCGAGACGAGAGGGUUCGAUGGUUUGUGCUUCGUUGGUGUUUUGCAUGUUCUUUUUGUUUCGGGUGUUGUUGGACACAAAUCGAUAUUUUUUCGUGACAGAGAGCGCGUUGGCACAACGCUAAGAUGCUUUUUCAUUCAUGUGCGUUCUCGAAAUAGGGAACGUGAAACAAGUAAAGCCCACGUUAAUGUUUGCUGCAUGUUUUGAUCAUCUGUAGGUGGCUCGCCAUUAGAGACUGUACUUGAAGACCCUUCAUCUUCAUUCCGAAAGUACAAUUUCAGUAGUAGCCUUGCAAGAGUUUUGUUGGGCUUCGUUUGUUUGCUAGUGCAAAUCGUAACGUCGAUUCUCUACUUCAAACAAAAUCAAUAUGCCCAUAAAAAGGAGAAAAUGGUACAUGUAGAAUGAGAGUUGGGAGGAGCAAAGCAGCAUGUUUUGUUUCAUCAUAUUUCAAUGUUGUAAAUGUUUGAUUAGGGUCUUUCAAAGUUGUAAAUGUUUGAUUAGGGUCUUUCAAAGUUGUAAAUGUUUGAUUGAGAUCUUCUAAAGUUUUGGGCAAAGGAUUUGAUUGCCAGUGGAAAGGAAAUGGUAACAAAAUUUUGGUGAGUUUUUUAAAAUUACUUUUCUAAAAAUUGAAUCUAUGUUAAGCUAGUUUUAAUAUAAGGAAAAAAUGGUAAAGUAACAGAUAAAUUUAAAGAAAGAUACCAAAGGAAGCGUGCCAUUCCAGGUUGCCACAACAUGUUACUUGCCAUUCUUGUAAGUUUUUACAUAACUGUAUUUCAUCUAACAUUUCCACAAUGCCUGUACCAUCAUAGUACUUACAGUUGCAGUAUUUUGGCUGACAAAGAAAAAGUCUAGGUGAAUGACACUAGACUAUGCUAAGAUGACGAAUGUCUUUUCCAUAUCAGAAUCAUGUGCACUUCCAUCUUAAUUUGUUUGCAAGCCUUAAGAAUACACAAAACAGGGUUUUUGUGAGGUCUGAAUAAAACAUCAAUACAGGAGGCUAGAGAAAUGCUUCCUACCACCAUUUAGAUCGUGCCCUUGUAGGCAGUUUCAGUACGAAAGCAAGAGCUGUGCAUGUAGCCCCUCCUUGUCUGCUGUAUUUGUUCUUCCUGCUAUAAGAUUUGUUCAAGCGCAGGAACUUCUAGGACAUCAGGGAGGCAGAUGAAGAACAUAUCGUGGGAGUAGGAAUCGUUAAUAUUUUGAAUGGUGAAAAAAUCAGCGUCGAAAAAGUUUUUAUCGGUGCUUUCGUCUUGUAGUUGGUUUACAGCCACAAAAUUUAUUUCCGCCAUGGAGUAUUCUUGUUUCUGGUGUGAAGCAUACUCUAACAGAAUGAUGUACGCAAGAACUCACCGUCAGAAUUCUAGUCCUGUAAGGAAGUGGCUCAGGACCGGGUGAUCAACUCUUGGACAUGAACCUUCAAGAGAACAAUAGAAACACGACGUGUAUAUAAUAUCACCGAAGAACCAUCUUAGAAUCGGACUGUUAUGUCUAGCCUGGCGACUGUGCAAGAUUUGAUUGCCUGUCUUCAUAUCAACCAAAGCCCGCGACUUUUUGUAUUAACGCGCCGCGGACUAACAGGUUACGACAGGGGCCAGUCCCGCGUUGAUCUGGUCAAUUUGUUGAAAGGCCAACCCGAUCAGUGGUUGUUCAACGCAGGUCAUGGCCGAGCACUAGCUUAAAAUGCCCUUUUGAGCACUAUCGCUUGCAAGCAAACGAAAUCGAAUUGAUACGUUCCUUUACAGGCUGGUUUGCCGUUUACCUUUUUCCCUAUUUGUACGUAGCUAAACCCUGCUUUUGAGUUAACAGCUUCAGACUGUAUCAUGUAUUAUAUCAGGAGUAGUUAUGUGGGUAUUAUUCUCUUUGCACGUUAGAGCUUGAGCUGUAGGUGUAAGGUAUACUAGAUGGCGCAUGUUCUGUACGGAAACGCUAUGGCUGAGCUGCGAGUGUGAGGUAUGUAUACUAGAUGGCGUAGCCACUGAUCUGUAAGCAAACUCCAGUACGGUCCUAUUGGACGUGGUAGCGCCACUGUACUAACAAUGUCUUUUACUGGAGCACUCUGGCGUCCCAAAAUAUGUCAAGAGUGUACUGGCGUUUGCGUAAAGAACGGCUGUAGUCUGAACCGUAACACGUGUAACUCAAUGGGUUUUUGCAGUCGUUACUACUCCUGGUAUACUUUGUGAGCAUAAAAAAAUAUUAAUUUUUAGACAAACGAAGUUGCAGUUGGCUCCACUAGAGGCGCUGAAUACAUUUGCACAUCUGGGAACGUUGGAAACUGUUGCACACCAGGUGGCCGUAGAUUCACAAGGCAUAACGCACAAGGUAGUCAAUUUGAUUAGUUUUUGGUCUGGGUCUUAGUACUCCUUUGUGAAAAUCUUUGUCUUUAACAAUGGUUCCAUUAUGCACUUGUCUCAACUAGCUAGUAAAAAUUUUCAAUUUCUCGCGAAAAGGCAAAUAUGUUUUAAAAAACGAAUAAUCGUUUUAAAAAAUCUCUGGUCUUCAAGUAUGUAUGAUUUGUUUUAAUGGUAACAGCGUUUCCAUGAUGCACGUGUUGCAACCAUCUAGCAGAAAAUGAUUAUUGAAUUUCAUUGGGUUCAAGUGGGUCAAUACGUUUGGAUAAUCGUUAUUAAAUCAUAUUUAGGGUUUUAUAUCGUUUGCUGCUGUAUCUCAUGGAAUUCGUUCUAUCUAGGCGAAUGAGAAUGUUAAACUGUUAUAGCAAACAUGUGUUCAUAAAAAAAACUUUGUUAAAAAUGUUAAAAAUGUAUUCUCAUAAUUUGGGCUAGAAGGAUUUUUAUUUCUUAUUAGGUGCUAACAUACUAUUUGCCUUGAUUAGUAAAUAUGAAUUAUUCUUUUUAAAUUAUUAAUUGUAUGGGUUUUUCAUUUAGAUGUCUGUAUUUAUGGUUGGCAUAAAUUUAAUAGAGAUUUACACCGGGAGAAUUCAAGCUGUUCAGAGUAACAUUUGCCUACCCGGUUUCCAAGAUCUUAGCAUGUUGCUGAUGUAACAACCUUGAUACAGUCUGAACUUUGAAGCUUACCAAGUGUUCUAGCGUGGCAGGAAUUUAAGAAGAGGUAUUUUUGUGAUAAAUUUCCUUGAAAAUUACUAAAGGAAAUAAUAGUUAGUGUUAUAAUCUCACUAACAAAACAAAACAAACAAAAUUUCCAUUUCUCACAAAAGGUAUAGGUUUGAAUAAUCUUCGUUAAAAUACAUCUUGGGUUGUAUAUAAAGUCAAAUUUUUUAAAAACUAGUUUUUCCAACAGAUUCAUUAUGCACGUGUCGUAACCACCCAACAGACAAUAGUUGUUGAUUUUCGUUUUGCACAGAUAAGUAAAUAGGUUUGAACAAUCCUUAAAGCAUUUCUCAGGUCUCACUUCUUUGCUGUAUCUUCUAGAAUUUGUGCCAUCCAGCCCUUUGGAAUAUGAAGCUGUUCAUCAUGGCCUAGGGUUUGUUGAAACAAAAACAUUCUAUUAAUUGUGCAUUCUUUAGAUAACUCUGGCUAAGAGGGUUAUAUUUCUUAUUGGUUGCCAGCCAACUUUUAUCUCAAGUAUUUAUGAAUAUUCCUUGUUAAUUUUAUAAGUGUUUUUCUUACAGGUGUUGGUGUGUUGUUGACAAGAAGUUCUACAAAAAAGCUUUGCAAAAAGGGAGCUGUUAAUUCAAAGAAAGUCCAUUGUAAAUCCAACUGCUGUGUUUUAAAAACUAUGUUGUUGAUAACAACAAAUAUGAUGAAUGUAUUUUCAUCUACAGCUGAAUUGAGAUGCAAGUUCUUUUGUAGGUGUAACACACUGUGCUUGUGUGGUGUUUAAGAAGUUAGUUGCUAUAGUCAAAUGUUUCGCAUUGUAUCCUUAGAAUUGUUUACUUUCUAAUUUUUUUACUUUUAAAGUAUUGACAGCAAUUGUAGAACAACUAAAACAAAUUAUUGCCUUCAAUUUUGAUAUUAGAGCUUCUGACUCACAUAUUGAAUCUCUCAUUAAAUCUCACAUGAAGCAA
rnacentral:lncRNA from 1 species